rnacentral:rRNA from 1 species
CCUACGGGGGGCAGCAGUGGGGAAUAUUGGGCAAUGGGCGCAAGCCUGACCCAGCAACGCCGCGUGAAGGAAGAAGGCUUUCGGGUUGUAAACUUCUUUUCUCAGGGACGAAGCCAGUGACGGUACCUGAGGAAUAAGCCACGGCUAACUACGUGCCAGCAGCCGCGGUAAUACGUAGGUGGCAAGCGUUAUCCGGAUUUACUGGGUGUAAAGGGCGGGUAGGCGGGAAAGCAAGUCAGAUGUGAAAACCAUGGGCUCAACCUGUGGCCUGCAUUGGAAACUGUUUUUCUUGAGUACUGGAGAGGCAGACGGAAUUCCUAGUGUAGCGGUGAAAUGCGUAGAUAUUAGGAGGAACACCAGUGGCGAAGGCGGUCUGCUGGACAGCAACUGACGCUGAGGCGCGAAAGCGUGGGGAGCAAACAGGAUUAGAUACCCCUGUAGUC